GACGAACGCUGGCGGCGUGCUUAACACAUGCAAGUCGAACGAUGAAGAAGAGACACGCGAACUUCGGUUCCAAUUUCACUUCGGAUUAGUGGCAGACGGGUGAGUAACGCGUGAGCAACCUACCUCUUACAAAGGGAUAGCCUCGGGAAACCGUGAUUAAUACCAUAUGACACAUUCAUAAGGCAUCUUAAGAAUGUUAAAGCUACGGCGGUAAGAGAUGGGCUCGCGUCCCAUUAGCUAGUUGGUGAGGUAACGGCCCACCAAGGCGACGAUGGGUAACCGGCCUGAGAGGGUGAACGGUCACAUUGGAACUGAGACACGGUCCAAACUCCUACGGGAGGCAGCAGUGGGGAAUAUUGCACAAUGGAGGGAACUCUGAUGCAGCGACGCCGCGUGAGCGAUGAAGGAAUUCGUUUCGUAAAGCUCUGUUCUAUGGGAAGAAAAGGACUGUACCAUAGGAGAAAGCCCCGGCUAAAUACGUG
rnacentral:rRNA from 1 species